rnacentral:rRNA from 1 species
AUGAAUAUCGUCCUCCUAUCCUGCUGGCUCUGGCGCAACUCGCAAGGCCAGGGAGGCCUCUGGCUUGACAUCAUCCGGAACAAGUACCUGCGUGGUCAACCCCUUGCCUUUUGUCAGAGAUCUGGUGGCUCGCAAUUCUGGCAGUCGGUCGUCCAGCUGCUCCCUGUCCUUCGCAUCGGGACAUCCAUCUCGGUGGGGUCUGGAUCGGCGAUGUUGUUCUGGUUUGACAGAUGGGCUGGAGACUUCCCCUUCGCCGCGCGCUUCCCCGACCUCUUCUCCAUCGCAGUAGAACCCCUGAUCUUUGUCGAGAGGGCCCUUAUUGACCUAGGGCGCCUUGCUUUUCGGAGGCCCUUUGGCCCCCCGGAAUCCGCCGCUUGGCAUGAGUUACCGGACUGCGUUGCUCUUCACGAGCCUGUGGUGGACAAUGGCCCAGACCAGGUGAGAUGGCGUCUCGAACCAUCGGGCCAAUUCUCCACCAAGUCUCUGUACCAGGCCAUCGCUCCCUCCUCCGCCUCCCCUCUUUCGAUGGUGUGGUCCAUCCGCCUGCCCCUGAAAAUCCGGAUCUUCAUGUGGCAGUGGAUUCGCGGUCGACUCCCGUCUGGCGUCGAGGUGCGCAAGCGCAAUGGUCCGGGCUCCGGCCUCUGCCAGCUUUGCGGCGUCCCCAAAGACUCGAAUCACAUCUUCUUCUCCUGCGUAUCCGCGCAAUUCGUGUGGAGCUGCUUCCGUGACAUGGUGGGUGGAAAUUGGUGUCACACCAACUUCCCCGACAUGACGAGCUCCAGUCCUCCCCCUUGCGCUUCCGUGACAUGA